UACGGAGGGUGCAAGCGUUAUCCGGAUUCACUGGGUUUAAAGGGUGCGUAGGUGGGUUGAUAAGUCAGUGGUGAAAUCCCCGAGCUUAACUUGGGAACUGCCAUUGAUACUAUUGAUCUUGAAUACAUUUGAGGCGGGCGGAAUGUGUCAUGUAGAGGUGAAAUUCUUAGAUAUGACACAGAACACCAAUUGCGAAGGCAGCUCGUUAAACUGUAACUGACGCUGAGGCACGAAAGCGUGGGGAUCAAACAGG
rnacentral:rRNA from 1 species